UCGAUCCAGGGGCCGCCAAGCGGCGGGGCGGGCACUCUUCCGGCAUCCGCCGCCGCCCCCUUGCCACCACCUACCAAGCCCCUGCAGCCUAGAAACCCGCCACCCGAGAGGCACUACUGCUCAGCCCAGACAGUAGCCGCCGCCGCUGCCGCCGCUGCCGCCGUUGCCGCCGCUGGCUAAGGAAGAGCCAUAUUACCGCAGUGCAACCCCUCCACCCCGCUGAGACCCGGAGCGCUCAUUGGCUUAGCCCUCAAGGGGGCGGGACCCAACGGCAGAAAAGGGGCGUGCUAUUGGGUAGAAGAGAGCCACCACGCAGGAUGCACUGGGACCUGAGAACCGUCGGGCAGUCCCACGAGCUCUUUCAUGACCAGCUCCAACCGACAAGUACACGCCCCUUCGCACUCCACUAGCUAGUAAGCUGAGCUACAAGGUGUGCCAGGCACC
ensembl:lncRNA UVRAG-DT UVRAG divergent transcript